rnacentral:rRNA from 1 species
UACAGAGAGUGCGAACGUUGUUCGGAAUUACUGGGCUUAAAGCGCACGUAGGCGGCGCCGCAAGUGUGGAGUGAAAUCCCACGGCUUACCCGUGGAACUGCUUGGCAGACUGCGGUGCUAGAGGAUGGUAGGGGAGAGCGGAACUCCUGGUGGAGCGGUGAAAUGCGUAGAUAUCAGGAGGAACACCGGUGGCGAAGGCGGCUCUCUGGUCCAUUACUGACGCUGAGGUGCGAAAGCUAGGGGAGCAAACGGG